rnacentral:rRNA from 1 species
AUACCCCACUAUGCCUGACAACAAACCUUGAUUUCCCCGUCCGCCGGAGUACUACGAGCCAUAGCUUAAAACUCAAAGGACUUGGCGGCGCCCCAAAUCUACUUAGAGGAGCCUGUUCUAUAAUCGAUAACCCACGUUUUACCCGGCCAUCUUUUGAUUUUCAGCCUAUAUACCACCGUCACCAGCUAGCCUUUCAAAAGAACUAUAACUAGCCCAAUCGGACGCCCCCAAAUACGUCAGGUCAAGGUGUAGCACAUAAGAUGGAAGAAAUGGGCUACAUUUUCUCCUAAAGAACACACGGAAGGUGCCAUGAAAAACAACUCAAAGACGGAUUUAACAGUAAGAAGGACCCACCAUAUCCAUCUUAAACCAGCUCUGGGGCGCGCACACACC